CCUACGGGGGGCAGCAGUGAGGAAUAUUGGUCAAUGGACGAGAGUCUGAACCAGCCAAGUAGCGUGAAGGAUGACUGCCCUAUGGGUUGUAAACUUCUUUUAUAAAGGAAUAAAACGAGGCACGUGUGCCUUUUUGCAUGUACUUUAUGAAUAAGGAUAGGCUAACUCCGUGCCAGCAGCCGCGGUAAUACGGAGGAUCCGAGCGUUAUCCGGAUUUAUUGGGUUUAAAGGGAGCGUAGAUGGGUUGUUAAGUCAGUUGUGAAAGUUUGCGGCUCAACCGUAAAAUUGCAAUUGAUACUGGCAGUCGUGAGUACAGUUGAGGUAGGCGGAAUUCGUGGUGUAGCGGUGAAAUGCUUAGAUAUCACGAAGAACCCCGAUUGCGAAGGCAGCUUACUAAACUGUGACUGACAUUGAUGCUCGAAAGUGUGGGUAUCAAACAGGAUUAGAUACCCGAGUAGUC
rnacentral:rRNA from 1 species